rnacentral:misc_RNA from 1 species
CGCACAUUGCGCCCACUAGUAUUCUGGUGGGCAUGCCUGUUCGAGCGUCAUUAACUCCCCUCAAGCCCUAUUGCUUGGUAUUGGGAGACUACAGCCUCGCUGUAGCUCCUCAAAGUCAGCGGCGGAGUCGUGUCAUCCUCUGAGCUUAGUAAUUACUUUCUAGCUUGCGAGUGAGGCGCGUCCCCUGCCGUAAAACACCCAACUUCUUUAGUUUGACCUCGGAUCAGGUAGGAAUACCCGCUGAACUUAA